CCUACGGGAGGCUGCAGUGAGGAAUAUUUGUCAAUGGGCGCGAGCCUGAACCAGCCAAGCAGCGUGAAGGAUGACUGCCCUACGGGUUGUAAACUCCUUUUAUAAAGGAAUAAAGUGAGGCACGUGUGCCUUUUGGUACGUACUCUAUGAAUAAGGAUCGGCUAACUACGUGCCAGCAGCCGCGGUAAUACGGAGGAUCCGAGUGUUAUCCGGAUUUAUGGGGCGUAAAGGGAGCGUAGAUGGGUUGUUAAGUCCGUUGUGAAAGUUGGCGGCUCAACCGCGAGAUUGCAAUUGAUACUGGCUGCCGUGAGUGCAGUAGGGGUAGGCGGAAUUCGUGGUGUAGCGGUGAAAUGCGUAGAUAUCACGAAGAACUCUGGUUGCGAAGGCGGCCUACUAAACUGCAACUGACGUUGAUGCUCGAAAGUGUGGGUAUCAAACAGGAUUAGAUACCCUUGUAGUC
rnacentral:rRNA from 1 species